CUCCAAGAUGAGAUUUCCCUUGGCCUUCGGGCCACUGAAGACUCCUUGAAGACUACAAGGUUGAUAGGCUGGAGGUGUAAGCGCAGCAAUGUGUUCAGCCGACCAGUACUAAUCAGUCGUGAGGCUUGACCAU
rnacentral:rRNA from 1 species